UCUGUUUUGUACUUCAUCUAUUACUCUUGUAUAAAAACUUAGUAAAUUUGCCACACAUGACCUUCCUUUUCUGAAACUAAAUAAACUAUUUGUUAUAACUUCGUUCUCUUCCAAAUAUUUAAUUCACUUUUCCUUGCCCAUAACACUAUAACACCAGUCUAUAAUUUUAUGACUCAAUCCUCCUUCCUCCUUUGUGUAUUGGCACUGUAUUUGCUUUCUUCCACUCUCUUGGUACUCUUCCCUCUAUCAGUGAGCUGUUAAUCACAUCCCAAAUUGGCUCCACCACUUGUUCUCUACAUUCCUUUAGUGUCCAACCUGACUCCAUCAGGCCCCAUUGCUUUCCUGACAUCCAACUUCUCUAAUAAUUUGCUAAUUUCAUGUUUUUGCACCAAGACUUCCCAUAACCCACCCCCCUACCUCACCUCCUUGUUUAGUUCUGUAAAACCCACUUCCACAGUGAACAUAGAUCUGAAACUCUCAUUCAUAAUUUCACUCAUCUCUUCUGCUGUUUGAUAUAUCCUUCCUUCCUUUACUAUCUUGUUAAUGAUCUCUCUGCUUGUCAUCUUUCCACUGAUAUAUCUGUAAAAAAGCUUGGGAUCUUCUUCACAUUUCUUUACCACAUCCUUUUCAAAUUGUUUCUCCUCCUCUCUUCUUAUUCUAACAUACUCAUUCCUUGCCUCCUUAUACUGGUCUCCAUUAUUUUCAUUCCUUUGUUUCUUCAGUUUCUUCCAAGCUAUAUCCUUUCUCUUCUUAGCUUCUGCACAUCUGGCAUUAUACCAAAUAUGUUUUCUCCUCCUUACUUUAUAUACAGGUACAUAUUUCUGCACACCCUCAUUGCUCUUUUUCAGGAAUGUUUCAUAUUUCUCUUGCACUGUCUUGCCUUCCAUAAAUCCCUUCCAAACCAAUACACCCAAAGAAUUUUCUUAACUCUGUAAAAUUUGUCUUAGCAUGAUUUAGCCUCCCUUUUUCAUAAUCCUCCUUACAUGGCAGAACCUCCCAAUUUUGCAGUACCAAUUCUAACACCACAUGGUCACUUUUUCCCAUUGGGCUUAAGUAUUUAAUGGUUGGACUGAGCCUGUUUUUUUUUAUGAAUACCAGGUCUAGCAUAGACAGUUCCCCCUUCCCUCUGUAUCUUGUAAAUUCCUCCACCCAUUGUUCCAUUGUAUUCACCAUAGCUAACUGUAGCAUUUCUUCACUCCAUGUUCCAGCAUUUCCAUUACCUUCCAUCUCCUCCCAGCUUACAUUUUUGCAGUUAAAGUAUCCCACUAGUAGUAUUUUAAUGUCCUUCCUUAUCAUGUUGUCUAGGCGCUUCAACACUUCCUUUUUGCAUUUCCUUGUGAUCCUCCAGCCUCCAUGUAUUAGUCUUUGGUGGCACAUAUGUUAAUAUGAUCCUCCUCCUUUCUCUCCCACUGGUCCUGACUGUUAUAUCUAUGACCUCCACCAUGCCAUCUCCAUAUUGCACUUCUUCCAUAUAUAUAUCAUCUCAAACCAUUAUCAGUACUCCUCCUCCUCCUUUUCCUUUACUAUCUCUCCUCCAAUAAUUAUAUCCCUCUUCCUUAAAGCUUAAAUGGACUUCCUAUUUUAACUCUGUCUCAGUUAGGCACAAACACAUCUGGUCUAUUUUCCUUUAACCCUAACUUGCCCAAGAGGACUUUCCGGUCCUCUUUUGUUUAGCUUAAUCCUACGGGAUGUGUGCAUGUUGUUUCAUGCCCUGCGCCCAUCAGGCUCUUUUGGUACUCUUUUGUGAAGCACGUGGUGUCAUAUGCUAGCACUAGGAGACGACUUCCCGCCAGUAUCCAGUCCAUCGUCGCUGGGGGUGGACGUGUGUUGACACUGCUCCCUUCCCCACACUUUAUGCAGGAUGGAUGCUGUUCCAGCUAGUGGAAAGGAUUUGAGAAAGAAAAGAGGGAGGCCAUCAACUGAUGCUGUAAAGGUAAACUUUGAGAAAAAGAAGAAAUGUGGCAGAGCAACUAAACCCAUUCCUGAAGAUGACAUCCGCAAGGAUGGAAUAGGACACUUCCCUGCUUUCUCAGCAAACCGUGCAACAUGCAAACUCCCAGGGUGCAAAAGCAAAGUGCGUAUGUAUUGCCUAAAAUGUAAUGUGUACUUGUGCUGUGAUCAGAAGAAAAACUGCUUCCUGGACUUUCACCAGUAGGAAUAGAAAACAAUGUGAGAUAAAGGGAAACAUUGUGUUACAAAAAUGAAAUCAAAUGUAUUUUAUGUUUUUUGGAGCUCUAUGUUAUGUUUUGAACAGUAUCAAGAUAUGGAAUAAUUUAUUGUUUGUGUAGAACAUAGAAAAUACCUUACAGAAAAAUUAUUUUUUGUUUUUGCAUUUAAAGUGCUCAAGUGCCCAAUGGACCCAAUUGGUCACCUUUUGGUUAAAUGCCCACAAACAUUUAAAUUUAACAAUUUUUGUAAUAAAUAAUUUCUUCUGCA